GACGAACGCUGGCGGCGUGCUUAACACAUGCAAGUCGAACGGAAAGGCCCUGCUUGCAGGGUACUCGAGUGGCGAACGGGUGAGUAACACGUGGGUGAUCUGCCCUGCACUUCGGGAUAAGCCUGGGAAACUGGGUCUAAUACCGGAUAGGAGCCAUUUUUAGUGUGAUGGUUGGAAAGUUUUUUCGGUGUAGGAUGAGCUCGCGGCCUAUCAGCUUGUUGGUGGGGUAAUGGCCUACCAAGGCGGCGACGGGUAGCCGGCCUGAGAGGGUGGACGGCCACAUUGGGACUGAGGUGCGGCCCAGACUCCGACGGGAGGCAGCAGUGGGGAAUAUUGCACAAUGGGCGCAAGCCGGAUGCAGCGACGCCGCGGGGGGGAUGACGGCCUUCGGGUUGAAAACUCCUUUCGCUAGGGACGAAGCUUUUUGUGACGGUACCUAGAUAAGAAGCACCGGCUAACUACGUG
rnacentral:rRNA from 1 species